rnacentral:lncRNA from 1 species
CUGACGUGCAUGCGAAGUAGAGGGUCUGCACAUCCAGGCCUCCGUAAAAAUUUAUAUUAGAUAAUUUAAAAUUUGAUCUCUGAUUCUAUUAUGAUUCAGAUAAAGAUUUGAUCCUAAAUCAUGUAAAAGAAUAAAAUUUUUUUUACAUGUAUCCUGAGCCUUCAGAGGAGAAACUAUUUCUCUUCUCUUCAAUUGGUAUCAAAGCAGGUCUGAAAUAUAUGUAUACAUGAUAAAAUUUUUUGAGA